CAAACCGGAUAUAGAUGAUAUCCCAUAUAGGCAAACCAGGGAUAUUUUGUCAAAGGUAUACAGUUGGUAACUAAAAUUGCCUUGCAAAAGUCAGUUAGUUAACAGAGAUUCACUGAAUUAGAGAUUAACACAGUUUCAAUGACCAGUUUGUCAUAAGCUAAGCGAGCUGUGAAAUAUCAUAAAAUACUGCUCUAAUGGCUACUUAGAGAUUGGAUCUGCCAGCAAGUGAAGUCAUGUAACAACAUACAUAAAUUGUUAUUAUUGCAUUUCCAUGACCCAUUCCUUUAUUUUUAUUUACGCAUCAUUUAUUUGUAUAAAUCGGAAGUUUAAAAUUAAAAUUACACCUGUUACAGGUUAAGACUUCCCAAACUGAAGAGCAAUUUAAAAGUCAUGUAAAGUAUGAUGGAGCUUUUGAGUGUCUGUGGGUACAUAUAUGUACCAAAAUUUACUGAGAAAGAGGAGUUGGUGAAAAUAAUCACAACAUAUGAGGUUCUUGACAAACCAAGAAAGGUGUGCCUUGGAGGAGUUCAAAGAAGGCUUCAGCAAGCUUGAUCUGCACAAUGUUAUGAAGCGACAUCCAGCAGAGUUUGAAACUCUGUUCUGCUGUCAAGGGAAAGCUCUUAG